UACAGAGGGUGCGAGCGUUAAUCGGAAUUACUGGGCGUAAAGCGUGCGUAGACGGCUAUCUAAGUCGGGUGUGAAAGCCCCGGGCUCAACCUGGGAAUUGCAGUGGAUACUGGGGAGCUAGAGUGCGGUAGAGGGUAGUGGAAUUCCCGGUGUAGCGGUGAAAUGCGUAGAGAUCGGGAAGAACACCAGUGGCGAAGGCGGCUACCUGGACCAGCACUGACACUGAGUCACGAAAGCGUGGGGAGCAAACAGG
rnacentral:rRNA from 1 species